rnacentral:rRNA from 1 species
CAAAUUUAAAAUCUACCUGGUUUYCAGGUCGAGUUGUAAUUUGAAGAUACGUUUUUGACGUUCCGGGUUGAACUAAAUCCUUUGGGAUAAGGUAUCAUGGAGGGUGAGAAUCCCGUAUAUACCAACCRUAGGGAUGUUAUUUAAUACGUUUCUAAGAGUCGAGUUGUUUGGGAAUGCAGCUCUAAAUGGGUGGUAAAUUUCACCUAAUGCUAAAUAUAAGCGAGAGACCGAUAGCGAACAAGUACAGUGAUGGAAAGAUGAAAAGAACUUUGAAAAGAGAGUUAAAUAGUAUGUGAAAUUGUUGAAAGGGAAACGAUUGAAGUCAGUCAUGCCRGUGGGAAUCAACUUAGAGGAAACUCUGAGUGCACUUCUUCGCUUGGCAGGUCAACGUCGAUUUUGGAUGUCAUAAAAUGAUUGGGGGAAGGUAGCUCCUUCGGGAGUGUUAUAGCCCUUGGUAGAUGUGAUGUCUGGGAUCGAGGAUUGCAAUGGAUACCCUUUGGGGCUAGCCGCCUGAUCUCUAAUYGGUAUUGGGUUACGGAUAGCAUGCUGACCGUGAUCUAAUUAUUGGUUAAAAGGUUAG